CCUACGGGUGGCUGCAGUGGGGAAUAUUGCACAAUGGGGGAAACCCUGAUGCAGCAACGCCGCGUGGGUGAAGAAGGAUUUCGGUAUGUAAAACUCUAUCAGCAGGGAAGAAGGUGCCUGUACCUAACUAAUAACCCUCCGCCAACUACGUACCAGCAGCCGAGGUAAUACGUCGGGGGCAAGCGUUCUCCGGAUUUACUGGGUGUACAGGUAUCGUAGACGGUGAGACAAGUCUGAAGUGAAAGCCCGGGGCUCAACCCGGGGACUGCGUUGGAAACUGCCUGACUGGAGUGCAGGAGAGGAAAGCGGAACUCCUAGUGUAGCGGUGAAAUGCGUAGAUAUAAGGAAGAACACCAGUGGCGAAGGCGGCUUGCUGGACAGUAACUGACGUUGAGGCUCGAAAGCGUGGGUAGCAAACAGGAUUAGAUACCCUGGUAGUC
rnacentral:rRNA from 1 species